AUAACCUCGGAAAUAAAACUGCCUGCCUGCAUGAAUCCCUCGACCGAAGCCUCCGAUUUCUUCGGCUUCCGGUUGGAUGAUUCCCGUCCCCGAUCCCAACCCCAUCUUCUACGCCUGCGUCGCCCACGGCACCGCCAUCCUCGCCGAGCUCUCCACCGCCGAUCUCCCCCCGGACCUCGCCGCCCAGUGCCUCGCUUCCACCGCCACUACUCCCACACCACCGGCGGCCGGAUCUUGCCUUCCUCAUGAUCGACCCCCUUGUCUUCUUCGUCAUCUCCGAUAAGGCUAUCCUCGGCAAGCCCCACACCCUCCUCUUCCUCCGCCGCCUCCGCGAUGCCUUCUCCUCGUCGACCGCCCUCCGACGCCGCGCCGCGGCUGUGGGAGGCGACGGCUCCGACUCCCUCCCCCACCUCUGCCUCCAGGAGAAGAAAUGUGGGAAGGGGAAGCGUAAGAUGGUGAUUUCGGCCGGCAAUCGCGACAUUGUUGAUUCCGACCCUGGAAAUGGUGGGUCGAGAAUGGUGCAUAAAGUGUGGCGGCAGCACGUUCGGGCAAUAAUCCUCAUCGAUCUCGUGGUGUGUUGCCUCCUCCUAGGGGUUUGGGUAUCGAUCUGUAAGGGUUUUGAGUGCAUCACCAAAUGAAACCCACUUCGAUUCACUUGCCCCCGAUCUGUGUUCCGUUAUUGAGAGAACAUGGCGUAUGCUGGUGGUCCAGUGAGCUUCUCCAGGACAUACUUCGAGAUGUAUGCUGAAUGUAACGGAGGACUCAUUGCUUAUACUUCGAGGUACAAAUCCCAAGACUGUGAGUUGACCUACAUCUUAAGGUGAAUUAUUUUGCCUUUUGUUGACGUAAUCACAUGCUCCAUUUUUUUUCUUAAGAUAUCAAUUAUUUGAAUAAUUAAUAUCAAUUUAAAAUUGUUUACGAUAA